rnacentral:tRNA from 3 species
GCGGGUAUGGUGUAACGGUAGCACUCCACCCUUCCAAGGUGUCAGUACGGGUUCGAAUCCCGUUACCCGCU